ensembl:misc_RNA Y_RNA Y RNA
GGCUGGUCCGAAGGUAGUGAGUUAUCUCGAUUGUUCACAGUCAGUACAGAUUGAACUCCUUGUACUACUCUUUCCCCCCUUCUCACUACUGCACUUGACAAGUUUUUU